UACGUAGGGUGCAAGCGUUGUCCGGAAUUAUUGGGCGUAAAGAGCUCGUAGGCGGUCUGUCGCGUCGGAUGUGAAAAUCCAGGGCUCAACCCUGGACCUGCAUUCGAUACGGGCAGACUAGAGUUCGGUAGGGGAGACUGGAAUUCCUGGUGUAGCGGUGAAAUGCGCAGAUAUCAAGUGGAACACCAGUGGCGAAGGCGAGUCCCUGGACACUUCCUGACACUGAGGCACGAAAGCUAGGGGAGCAAACAGG
rnacentral:rRNA from 1 species